rnacentral:rRNA from 1 species
GGUAGCGAAAUUCCUUGUCGGGUAAGUUCCGACCCGCACGAAAGGCGUAACGAUUUGGACACUGUCUCGGAGAGGGACUCGGCGAAAUAGACUUGUCUGUGAAGAUGCGGACUACCUGCACCUGGACAGAAAGACCCUAUGAAGCUUUACUGUAACCUGGAAUUGCUUUCAAGCUUAUUUUGCGCAGCUUAGGUGGGAGGCUACGAACCUUUUCUUCCGGGAAGAGGGGAGCCAUCAGUGAGAUACCACUCUUGGUAAGCUAGAGCGCUCAUUUUUAACCGUUAUCCGGUAAAAAGACAGUUUCAGGCGGGCAGUUUGACUGGGGCAGUCACCUCCCAAAAGGUAAUGGAGGUGUGCAAAGGUUCCCUCAGGCUGGACGGAAAUCAGCCAUAGAGUGUAAAAGCAUAAGAGAGCUUGACUGCGAGACGGACAUGUCAAGCAGAGACGAAAGUCGGUUUUAGUGAUCCGACGGUGCUGCGUGGAAAGGCCGUCGCUCAACGGAUAAAAGUUACUCUAGGGAUAACAGGCUAAUCUCCCCCAAGAGUUCACAUCGACGGGGAGGUUUGGCACCUCGAUGUCGGCUCAUCGCAUCCUGGAGCGGAAGUACGUUCCAAGGGUUGGGCUGUUCGCCCAUAGAAAGCGGUACGUGAGCUGGGUUCAGAACGUCGUGAGACAGUUUGGUCCAUAUCCUGUGUAGGCGUUUAGAGCAUUGAAAGGAUCUCCCCUUUGUACGAGAGGACCAGGUGGGGACAGACCGCUAGUGUACCAGUUAUCCCACCAGGGGUAAACGCUGGGUAGCUAUGUCUGGAGUAAAUAACUGCUGAAAGCAUAUAAGUAGGAAGUUCACCUUAAGAUGAGUGCUCUUUUGUCUCAACCGUUCAGUUUUACUGACAAAUGAAAGACAAGGAAGGUCACGGCAAGACGAGCCGUUUGAUAGGCAUGAAGUAGAAGUGCAGUAAUGCAUUCUGAAGCUGACAUGUGCUAAUAGACCGAGGGAUUUGAUUUU